CCUACGGGAGGCAGCAGUGAGGAAUAUUGGUCAAUGGGCGGGAGCCUGAACCAGCCAAGUCGCGUGAGGGAAGAUGGUCCUAUGGAUUGUAAACCUCUUUAGGCGGGGAGCAAUGCCGGGCACGCGUGCCCGGAGGGAGAGUACCCGCAGAAUAAGCAUCGGCUAACUCCGUGCCAGCAGCCGCGGUAAUACGGAGGAUGCGAGCGUUAUCCGGAUUUAGUGGGUUUAAAGGGUGCGUAGGCGGAUUUUUAAGUCAGCGGUAAAAUGUCCGGGCUCAACCCGGGCCGGCCGUUGAAACUGGGGAUCUUGAGUGGGCGAGAAGUAUGCGGAAUGCGUGGUGUAGCGGUGAAAUGCAUAGAUAUCACGCAGAACUCCGAUUGCGAAGGCAGCAUACCGGCGCCCGACUGACGCUGAGGCACGAAAGCGUGGGGAUCGAACAGGAUUAGAUACCCGGGUAGUC
rnacentral:rRNA from 1 species